rnacentral:lncRNA from 1 species
GUCUACAACGAUAAAACCCCCUUAUAAAGACAUACAGUGAAAUAUACACGUACAUGAAUUCAUUCUUUGAUGACUUUUUCAUUCUGAUGUGAGAACCUGGAUAUGUCUUAUCUAUUGUAUAUAAGUAUCCUGGUAAUUUUUUUAUGAAUCCGCCGAUUCACCUCUAAGAAAAUUCAUUGCCUUUUCUUUAGCCCUCCACGCCAACAUGUAGCUACCUGGUAAUUUUUUAUAUGAAUCAGUCGGUUCACCUCUAAGAAAAUUCAUUGCGUUAUCUUUAGCCCUCCGCGCCAACAUGUAGCUAACAUCUACACAUAAAUCUAAUUUCACAUCAUCAAUAA